CACAGUCUUCUGUCUGCCUGUGAAGCGCUCAGCUAGCAGUUCAGAGAGCUCAGAAGAACUUGUGCCAUCUCCUAUUCUGCAAAAAGCUGCUGCUGUUAUGUUCAAGGCAGAACCCACACAG